AUAACCUCCACAUGGUUAUAAAUAGAACUAUUUGUUUUUUUCUCUCUGCCAAUUUCUACAUAUACUCCGUUUGACGUACUGCUUUAAUAAACUCACAAUUCAGAGUUGUCACUUAACAAGAAAACAAAACUAAUAAACGCUAAAAAUAUCAAUGAACCAUAUUCUAAAAACUGUGAAAACAGUAUACAAAAAAAUAAAAUAACAGCUUUUGAUUAAACUAACAAAACUAACAUCUAGUUUCAAUCACCAACCAUACACAUUUCCUAAUAGCUUUUAUAAAUUCCCAAUUUAGCUUCCCUCUCGUUUUCAUUCAUUCUUCUCCAUUUUCUCAACCGAUCUCUCUCAA
rnacentral:lncRNA from 1 species